AGAGUCACUCGGGUGACCGCGCGUGGGAAUUCCCGCUCGAGGAAAGUCCGGGCUUCAUAGGACGCAGUGGUGGCUAACGGCCACCGGGGGAAACCCUAGGGAAAGUGCCACAGAAAAUAAACCGCCUAAGCAACCUCGGUUGCCGGUAAGGGUGAAAUGGCGAGGUAAGAGCUCACCGC
rnacentral:RNase_P_RNA from 1 species